GACGAACGCUGGCGGCGUGCCUAACACAUGCAAGUCGAGCGAUGAAGUUCUUCGGAACGGAUUAGCGGCGGACGGGUGAGUAACACGUGGGCAACCUGCCUUGUAGAGGGGAAUAGCCUUCCGAAAGGAAGAUUAAUACCGCAUAACAUUGUGUCUUCGCAUGAAGAUAUAAUUAAAGGAGUAAUCCGCUACAAGAUGGGCCCGCGGCGCAUUAGCUAGUUGGUGAGGUAACGGCUCACCAAGGCAACGAUGCGUAGCCGACCUGAGAGGGUGAUCGGCCACAUUGGGACUGAGACACGGCCCAGACUCCUACGGGAGGCAGCAGUGGGGAAUAUUGCACAAUGGGGGAAACCCUGAUGCAGCAACGCCGCGUGAGUGAUGACGGCCUUCGGGUUGUAAAGCUCUGUCUUCGGGGACGAUAAUGACGGUACCCGAGGAGGAAGCCACGGCUAACUACGUGCCAGCCGCCGCGGUAAUAC
rnacentral:rRNA from 1 species